UACAGAGGUCUCAAGCGUUGUUCGGAUUCAUUGGGCGUAAAGGGUGCGUAGGUGGCGCUGUAAGUCGGGUGUGAAAUUUCGGAGCUUAACUUCGAAACUGCAUUCGAUACUGCCGUGCUAGAGGACUGGAGAGGAGACUGGAAUUUACGGUGUAGCGGUGAAAUGCGUAGAUAUCGUAAGGAAGACCAGUGGCGAAGGCGGGUCUCUGGACAGUUCCUGACGCUGAGGCACGAAGGCCAGGGGAGCAAACGGG
rnacentral:rRNA from 1 species